rnacentral:lncRNA from 1 species
AGAACUCUUUAUUUUUAUUCUGAAGGUUUUUAAAGAGUGCCUUUGCAUCUAUGGCAACACCAAACGCCAUCCUUGUUUGACUUACCAUGGUGGUGAAGACGUCCACUGCCUUGCCGGUCUCCACAAAGGACUAUCAAUGAACCAUUCAGAACUUGUGGAAUGUUGACGUUGCAGUUUGGACCUUGGAAAGAAGUAUUGAUUGAACCUCCAGAGUUAGCUCAUCACUUCGUUGAGAAAUAGCGAGCUUGGGAUGAGAAGCUACAUCAGACGCAGUAGACCUACUUGAAGUCCUUGCUGUAACGCCUCGAAUUCUUGCAACCCGAAACGUUACGAAGCAUGAAGUUAUCAAAGCACUUGAAGCAAAAAAA